GGUAUAAUUUUAACGUUGUAUAUAAUAUUAAAAAAAUAAUAAUAACGUCACAAAUGCAGUAUUUGGCAACAUCUGUUAACAGAAUCAGGUUCAGGUUCAUUGUUAUUGCCUAUUUUAGACUCUUGCCAUAUAAAAUAAUACCCAUUAGUAAAUUCAGAUUUCUAGGCACAGGUUGACAAGGACAAGGAUUGUGCCCACUCUUACAGAGGCCUGCUUGUUUUGGCUGGUGCACUCUCAGAGCUUGUGUAGACACACAACUUAUUCCCUUUUGACCUUUGUGGUCAUUUAUUCUGCAUUUAGCUAAAUGUUUAUUUCAGAAACCAGUUAAAUACAGUGUUGGUACAACUAAUCAUCUCAUCUGGUUGUUUUGCAGGUUGUUGUACCCAUCCUUUAUCACUGAAAUAUUUUACAAUAUUUUUCUUUCUCUCUCUAACUUUCUUUUUUCUUGUAUUUAUCUCACUCCCUUUUUUAUUUCUUUGUACUUAACUUUACAUUGUUUCUCUUAAAAAAAAACACGUACAAAUGGCAUCUGAGUCAUUCAGUCAGUUUAAGGAAUGGCUGGAAGCAGCAAAAACCAUGGCAGAUGAGUUGGAAACCCAAAAAACUAAAAAGAAAAGAAAACAAAAGGGAACAGAAGUCUCCAAUGUUUCCUGGAGGAAGAGAGACCAGCAUGGGAACAUCCUACCACAGCGUGUUAGGAAGACUCGAUCUAAGAAACCUGCUGGCACUAGAGAGCUUUCAGAAGUUGAGGAGGUGGAAAUGGAUGAAAUUCCACAAGAGGUCCCAAGUCUUGAUCAACAUCUUCAGAGAAUAAAAAACCUGCUAAAUUCUGUCACUGUCUCUGCACCAAUGGAAGCAGAAGAGACACCCACCAUGUCUGCAUGGACCAACAGACAGGCCAUCUCUGAAAAAAAAUUUAAGACUGCAAUGCCAGAAAUCUUAAAUUGCAUGUUGGCUGCAGAGACAGUAACCCAGCAUUGCUGUCAACAAUGCAAGACUGCUGAUGCUGUUGUCCGGUGCCUAGACUGUGUUCCCUCAGGAAGUCAGUUUUUCUGUUCCACAUGUGACUCAGAGAUCCACAGAAAAAAUGUUUUCCAUAAUAGAGAAGCUAUGUUUGAUGGUUUUUUUUAA
rnacentral:lncRNA from 1 species